rnacentral:lncRNA from 1 species
GGGCUUUUAUUUUCUUUUCUUUUUUUUUUUUUUUUUUUUUUGGUUUUGAUGAUUGAUGGUUGGUUUGAUUUUGGUUUGAUUUGAUUUGCAUUAGAAAUCUGUCUCAAAAUGUAGACCAUGCUGGUAUGGAAUUCAUAGAGACCCACCAGCCUCUGUCUUGUGAGAGAGACACUACAAUUAAAGGUCUGUGUUGCCAACCCCAGUGCAUUUACCUAUAACAGACUCCUAUAACUAACUCCAAUAAACACAUUGGUUCACCAAAUUAA